rnacentral:miRNA from 1 species
CUGCGCUGGGCCCUGGGGCUGCUAGUGUAAAAGGGCAGAGUCCUUGUCCUCCAGGAGCUCACCACGUGG